rnacentral:rRNA from 1 species
GAGUANUGCCUAGGGAACUGCCCAGUCGAGGGGGAUAACAGUUGGAAACGACUGCUAAUACCGCAUACGCCCUACGGGGGAAAGGAGGGGCUCUUCGGACCUUUCGCGAUUGGAUGUACCUAGGUGGGAUUAGCUUGUUGGUGAGGUAANAGCUCACCAAGGCGACGAUCCCUAGCUGUUCUGAGAGGAUGAUCAGCCACACUGGGACUGAGACACGGCCCAGACUCCUACGGGAGGCAGCAGUGGGGAAUAUUGCACAAUGGGCGAAAGCCUGAUGCAGCCAUGCCGCGUGUGUGAAGAAGGCCUUCGGGUUGUAAAGCACUUUCAGCGAGGAGGAAAGGUUAACGGUUAAUACCCGUUAGCUGUGACGUUACUCGCAGAAGAAGCACCGGCUAACUUCGUGCCAGCAGCCGCGGUAAUACGAGGGGUGCAAGCGUUAAUCGGAAUUACUGGGCGUAAAGCGUACGCAGGCGGUUUGUUAAGCGAGAUGUGAAAGCCCCGGGCUCAACCUGGGAACUGCAUUUCGAACUGGCAAACUAGAGUCUUGUAGAGGGGGGUAGAAUUUCAGGUGUAGCGGUGAAAUGCGUAGAGAUCUGAAGGAAUACCGGUGGCGAAGGCGGCCCCCUGGACAAAGACUGACGCUCANGUACGAAAGCGUGGGGAGCAAACAGGAUUAGAUACC